rnacentral:tRNA from 10 species
GGAGACGUAUCGAAGUGGUCAUAACGGGGCGCACUCGAAAUGCGUUAGCCCUUCUCGGGCACGUGGGUUCAAAUCCCACCGUCUCCG